UACGUAGGGACCGAGCGUUGUCCGGAUUCAUUGGGCGUAAAGAGCUCGUAGGCGGCCACUCAAGUCGAAUGUGAAACCUCGAGGCUUAACCUCGAGCCUGCAUUCGAUACUGGGCGGCUAGAGUCUGGUAGGGGGAUCUGGAAUUCCUGGUGUAGCGGUGGAAUGCGCAGAUAUUGGGAGGAACACCAGUGGCGAAGGCAGCUCUCUGGGACGGUACUGACGCUGAGACGCGAAAGCGUGGGGAGCGAACAGG
rnacentral:rRNA from 1 species